rnacentral:lncRNA from 1 species
AUGAUACCCACGCUCGGGGCCAUGGAAAUAGGGGCAGGCACUGGACAGAAACUCGGGUGUGGACGGAGCCCUGCAGGGAGGAGAGCCGGGUGUGGAAGGAGCCCUGCAGGGAGACCCGGGUGUGGACGGAGCCCUGCAGGGAGGAGACAUGGGUGUGGACGGAGCCCUGCAGGGAGGAGAGCCAGGUGUGGAAGGAGCCCUGCAGGGAGACCCGGGUGUGGACGGAGCCCUGCAGGGAAACCCGGGUGUGGACGGAGCCCUGCAGGGAGACCUGGGUGUGGACGGAGCCCCGCAGGGAGGAGAUAUGGGUGUGGAUGGAGCCCUGCAGGGAGGAGACCCGGGUGUGGACGGAGCCCUGCAGGGAGGAGACCCGGGUGUGGACGAAGCCCUGCAGGGAGGAGACCCGGGUGUGGACGGAGCCCUGCAGGGAGACCUGGGUGUGGACGGAGCCCUGCAGGGAGACCUGGGUGUGGAUGUGUUCUUCUGUCAUGGGUAGGAAGAAAAGUGAGAGCAAGAGGGCGGAGGAGAGGAAAGGGGAGGGAGCAAGGGCCAGGGAGAGGGAGAACACAGCUCUGUAGCAGUGAGGGGGCAUCUUGGGCAGGCCGCCUCCCUCCUCUGCUGGAAGCCCCAGUGCCCUGCUGUGCUGGGCCGUGUCUCCUGGUCCAGCCGUGUGUUCCAGGAGUGAGGUCCACUCCUGCAGGGGACAUGAGUGCUUCUCCCUCUGGAGGGUGUGGGGAGGGGGGGAGCUCCACCCACCGUGGAGGAAGCCCCUGCUCUUCCAAGCAGCCGGGAAGGGUGAUAGCCUCCAUCCUCAGGCCCUCAUCAUGGUUGCACUCCCUCCUGAGACGAGAAGCUUCUGCUGUAACAGACCCCUGUGAGGAGGAGCUGAGAGGGGACAGCCCAGCCCCAGGUCCCAGGGAGUUGAGGCCAUGGCAGCCAGGUCUGAGGCCGUGUGGGGUGGAUGCGGGGUUGCACACGUUACCCAUGCUCGGUGGCCCCCCCACGAGGGCAGGGCCCAUCCUCAGGAAUGGUCAUCGCCCUCCUGGCCUCCGCUUUUUCCCUGGACAGGUGCCUCCCUCGCCCCAUCUGUGA